rnacentral:rRNA from 1 species
UACGUAGGCAGCGAGCGUUGUUCGGAAUUACUGGGCGUAAAGAGUGUGUAGGCGGUGCUCCAAGUCUGUUGUGAAAUCUCCCGGCUUAACUGGGAGGGUGCGGCGGAAACUAGAGUGCUAGAGGGUGGGAGAGGUAAGCGGAAUUCCUGGUGUAGCGGUGAAAUGCGUAGAUAUCAGGAGGAACACCUGUGGUGUAGACAGCUUACUGGACCACUUCUGACGCUGAGGCACGAAAGCGUGGGGAGCAAACAGG